AAUUUUUAACGGUGCCGCACUAUAAAUCUAAGAAACAAAACCUGUUUCCAGCUUACCAGCUUUCAUCGUCUUUCAAGUUUCAAUUCGAGUUAAAUAAUAUGGAUAUAGGUGAACACCAUUUUUUUGCUUCACCCAUAUGGAAGCACUUCGAUCUUCUUAGUAACAAUGAUGGUCAAAAGAUGGUAAAAUGCAAGUACUGUGACGUAAUACUUACAAUUGGAAAAGAUUGUGGAACAUCAACCAUGCACCGUCAUGCAGCCAGAUGUAAGCAAAAACCACAAAUCGGUGGUUGGAUCAAUGUGAAGAACUCGAUGACAAAAAAAGAUUUAAAAGACAUUAAUACCGAGAACGACAUAUAAGGCACCAAAGCAUGCUCUACAUCCUCGG